AUACGUAGGUGGCAAGCGUUGUCCGGAAUUACUGGGUGUAAAGGGAGCGCAGGCGGGCGUGCAAGUCAGCUGUGAAAUCCAUGGGCUUAACCCGUGGGCUGCAGUUGAAACUGUAUGUCUUGAGUGAAGUAGAGGGAGGCGGAAUUACGAGUGUAGCGGUAAAAUGCGUAGAUAUUCGGAGGAACACCGGUGGCGAAGGCGGCCUACUGGGCUUUAACUGACGCUGAGGCUCGAAAGUGUGGGGAGCAAACAGGAUUAGAUACCCUGGUAGUCCACACUGUAAACGAUGAUUGCUAGGUGUGGGGGGUCUGACCCCUUCCGUGCCGCAGUUAACGCAAUAAGCAAUCCACCUGGGGAGUACGGCCGCAAGGCUAAAACUCAAAGGAAUUGACGGGG
rnacentral:rRNA from 1 species